CCUACGGGAGGCAGCAGUGAGGAAUAUUGCACAAUGGGGGAAACCCUGAUGCAGCGACGCCGCGUGAGUGAAGAAGUAUUUACGUAUGUAAAGCUCUAUCAGCAGGGAAGAAAAUGACGGUACCUGAUUAAGAAGCCCCGGCUAACUACGUGCCAGCAGCCGCGGUAAUACGUAGGGGGCCAGCGUUAUCCGGAUUUACUGGGUGUAAAGGGAGCGUAGACGGCAGCAGAAGUCUGGAGUGAAAUGGCGGGGCUUAACCCCGGAACUGCUUUGGAAACUGUGCAGCUAGAGUGCAGGAGAGGUAAGCGGAAUUCCUAGUGUAGCGGUGAAAUGCGUAGAUAUUAGGAGGAACACCAGUGGCGAAGGCGGCUUACUGGACUGUAACUGACGUUGAGGCUCGAAAGCGUGGGGAGCAAACAGGAUUAGAUACCCGAGUAGUC
rnacentral:rRNA from 1 species